AUGGGUUCGUCCAGUGAAGCUCGUAAACUAAAUAAGAAGAUGUAUGUGGUAUCAACUUAUUCAUCCGGCUCAAAGGAUUUGUUUUCCGAAGAAUUUAAUAGAAGUCCCGAAACUGGCAAAGGUAAACAACCUGCAAAUAUAGAUGAAAAUCAUGUUGAGGAAGGCAACGUUGUUAGUGAUGAAGUUAUUUUGGACGAUACAGCAGUUAUCGGUGGAGAAAAUGGAAGGUAA